GUCCUCAAACCAUGGGAUUCUAUGUCUUACCAGUUGUCACACAGCCUAGAAGCCUGGUCAUCUCGAAACUCGGCCAUCUCAGCUCUUCCUGAAAACUGCAAAGGAACAGGAUACAAGGCAGCUCCGAUGUUUACAUCACUCCUUCCCACGACACAGAAAUAGACUUCGGCACCGACUACUAACAAAGCGGCAGGCUGAUCUGGACACUGUCAAGUCACCCGCCAGCAGCCUCAGCGCCCGGGCAAACUGACACUGUUUAACGAAUCCAAGAGUCCAGUGUAGAAAAGCCCGGAAACCAAGCAAAGGUUCGUUUUCAAUAACCUAAGACCAAGUUGACUUCAAACUCUUAGAGAUCCGCCUGCCUCUGUCUCCCAAGUGCUGGAACUAAAGAUGUGUGCCACCAUGCAUGCUUAGAAACAUACUUUCACCACGAAAUCGGCAAAGAUCUAAAAGUUUGAGAAAGGACUGAAUGGACAAGAGAAAGUCACUUUUUACCUGCGGAUGAGUUAUUUUCAUUAUUUUGGGAGCUGGAGAGAUGGCUCAGCAGUGAACACUGGCUGCUCAUGCAGAGGACCCAAGUUCAAUUCCCAGUGCAUAGUGGCUCACAACUGGCUGUAACUCCGGCUCCAGAGUAUCUGACGCCCUCUUCUGACUGGUUUAUUCUGUGAAGAGUGAAAGGUUAGGAGGUGGUCCCAGGACGUCAAGACCAACUUGAAGAGUCCUUUGGGCAAGACACCCAGAGCCAACACAUCCAAGUCCUGCAUGGAUGUCGCUUCCCGUACCCCCCCCCCCCAGCUGUGGUGCACAGUGUGGUGCAUCCGUGGCUCUUCCUGCCCAUUAGGAAGAGGACCUCUUCCAAGAGCAACUCCUUUAGCCUAUCUGGAAAAGUUGAAGGCACCAUUUAAUUAGCACCUGCUGUAUACCGUAACAG
rnacentral:lncRNA from 1 species